AGGCCUUGAGGCUUCAUCCCUACAUGCUGCAGGGGGUGGUUUCGGUGGAAUAACAGCCAACAGUAUUGACCGGGAAACCAUCCAUCUACAGGGCGUGUGGUUGCUACAGACCAGCACAGAAAUUACCAUGUUCUUCAGAAUGUAAAUGACAGCGGUUGGUCAUUAAAGGCUACAGUCUCAGGAAGGCAAAUCGAAGAUGCAGUUCCUUUAACAAUCAGUUCUGCUGGCUGUGCAGAUGUGACUUCAGACUGUCUGGCUGUGAGCAUCCUGAAUGCUGGCCAACGAACGUACAAGCUAGUUUGCACACUGGACUGCAUGCCGAGUCUCAGGCCUUACUUUCCUUUCCUAACAAUAAACAAUGUGUUCACUUUGGCAAGAUCA
rnacentral:lncRNA from 1 species